UGCAUAUCAAAAAGCGGAGGAAAAGAAACCAACAGGGAUUGCCCUAGUAACGGCGAGUGAAGCGGCAACAGCUCAAAUUUGAAAGCUGGCUUAGGCCCGCAUUGUAAUUUGCAGAGGAUGCUUUUGGUGAGGUGCCUUCCGAGUUCCCUGGAACGGGACGCCAUAGAGGGUGAGAGCCCCGUAUGGAUGGCCACCAAACCUGUGUAAAGCUCCUUCAACGAGUCGAGUAGUUUGGGAAUGCUGCUCUAAAUGGGAGGUAAAUCUCUUCUAAAGCUAAAUACCGGCCAGAGACCGAUAGCGCACAAGUAGAGUGAUCGAAAGAUGAAAAGCACCUUGAAAAGGGGGUUAAACAGUACGUGAAAUUGUUGAAAGGGAAGCGCUUGUGACCAGACUUGCGCCGGGCGGCUCAUCAGGGGUUCUCCCCUGUGCACUCCGCCCGGCUCAGGCCAGCAUCGGUUCUCGUGGGAGGAUAAGAACGGUAGGAACGUGGCCCCCCUCCGGGGGGGUGUUAUAGCCUACCGUACGAUACUCUCGUGGGGACCGAGGUUCGCGCUCCGCAAGGAUGCUGGCGUAAUGGUCAUCAGCGACCCGUCUUGAAC
rnacentral:rRNA from 1 species